rnacentral:lncRNA from 1 species
AAAUAAUAAGCAAUCAGAUUGUUUGAGGGACAGAAGUGGUGUCGCAGCAGCCAGAGGAGAGUGUGAUCAGUAGUGGCGCAUUGGUGAUCAGAGAAGCCUUGAAAGGGCUAGCUGUCCAUAAAAGCUGUGGCUACGUGGAAGGAGGUGUGGGCUGCCUGCCGAAUCCAGCACACUGUGGAAAGGGAAAGUCGGUGGAUGGAGGAGCUGUGUAGAAGGCAUCUACUGGCAUCGGAGAAAUGAUGAAGGAUUAGACCAGGGGUUUAGCUACAGAAUUGGAAUCAAAGAUAUUUUAGAGUGAGGAAAUCAGCUGAUUUGCUUUCUCCUAUUGAAAAGCGACUUUUAAGUUUUGGUAACUUAAAAGUCUGUCUGUCUCCCAUUUUGAAGGCAGUCUUGUGUGUUCCUAGCUGGUUUGGUUCUGACUAUGUGGCCCAGGUCGGAGUAAUCCUCUUGCUUAAGCAUGUGCUAGCACACCUAGCUUCUUUCUUUUCUUUAUUAAGAAGGCAAAGGCUGAGAGAUCUGAAUUCUGGAUUCCUAAUGAAGUCAGACCUGACUUCUCUUGCUAGUCAGGCUGUAAAGCAGUUCCUCUCCAGGAGCGACUCUACUCCUGAUAGAUUUCCUUCAAGUCUUUGUACAACUCUUCCUUUACUUUAGUUUCUUUCUCCCUGUUGGCCCCGUUUCCACUUGAUUAGCAGAUAUUUGCUGUAUCCUUCUGGAUGGGUUACUAGAGUGGACAUAGGUCAGGGCAGAGUAGAAAGAGAUAAAGACUAGGAACAAUAAUUCUCUGAAGACUUCAGGCAGAGUUUCCUCCACAGCUGCCUUCUCUCCAUGGGCUCUCUCCAUGUAGUGAAAACGCUGUCUUAAUUGAUGUGAACAGCCUCUCCUGAAACUCACUGCCAUUUGAAGUUUUACAUCCUGCUUUUGCUAUGAUUACUAUACCGUGCUGUGCCAAGCACUCAAUUAUCUCAGUUUUCAUUAACUGUUCGCUAUACUUACUCCAAUCAAAGAAGAAAAGCUUUGAAAUUCUAAAGCAUUGAGACCUAGAGAGAUGUCGUUCAGUGUCAUAGGGCCAGUGAAUGCCAUGUAUCUAAUAAUCAUCUUUGAGUGUGUCAGACUUGGCACCCGAAGGCUUAUCUACUUUCUGCUUUCUAGGUACUAUCAGUAUCUUCUGUUGUUCAAACUCCAGACCUGCUCUUCAUUUGCUUAGUUCUCUUGAUGAACUACUGCAUGUGGCCUCUGAAAUAUCUAGUUGGUAGUCUGUUCCCAUCAUUGUUGGUGUUCCUUCAAGUUCUCAUUAUCCCUGUGGAGUAAUAAAAAAGACUUGAUCUCCGUUUUUACCUUUUUUUCAUUCCUGCUCUACUGCUACUAGGAGCAUUUUCUUGUAAAUCCAGAUUUGAUCUUGCCAUGUAUUCACUUGAAACUAAACGGCAGCGAAACAAGGCUUGCUUUUGCUUACAGUAUAAAGUCCAAUUCCUUAGCUUGGCAUCCAAGGCCUUUUAUAAGCUAUUUAUGCAUUUUCUUUUGUGCUACUACAGCUGUAGCAAUCAAAAUGUAUUUGCCUGUUGGCAUAGCUCUUGUUUGUAGCGCACUCCUUCAUACACAGAGCACCAUUUGCAGGAGAUUAGGGUCAGUUUUCUGGUCUAAAGCACUGACUCUCCCCCCGUUCCUCUUGAGAGUAAUUGUUUGAAUCAGAGAAAUAUGGUUUUUGAAGCGUGACUGCCAUUUUAUGCUUACUUACUGUAGUUGUUUCCUUUACCUAGGAAUGUAUUCUCAGUAGUCUUUAUUUUUUAAAAAACGGUAAUUCUUUAAGGCUAAGGGGUAGAGCUGAAGGUCUUUGCUCAUGCUUACCAAGAAGUCUGUUACUGAGUUUGUUCCCAACCCCUGAAGCAGUGAAUGAAAGGAUGGAGAAAGAAAUGAACAACAGAGUAGUAUAUUAUUAAAGAGACUGGAACCAAAGUGAUAGAGCUGUAAAAUAGAGAAGACACUUAGGACUUCAGUGUGUGGUUUUGAAUUUCGUGUGAUUGAUAACACCAACCAUAUGGAAAAAGUACUACAAAAUAGAGUGAAUGUUUAAUAGUUGUUAUUCUGAAUUUAUGAUUUGAGUAUUUUUUGUAUAGGUUGUUACGAGCGUGCGAGAGAUUUGUGUGUGUUGGGAGUGACUGUAGGACCUUACAUGUGCUAAACAUGUUCACUGCUGAAUUAUGUCCUCAGCUCCUCCGUGGACAGCUAAAGAUCUGAGCAUUCCAAGAUCAGAGAGACUGCACAUUGUGGAUAGGAUCCUUCAACAGAUGAAAGUGGUGAAGGUUCUAAUCUGAGAUUGUUCAGUUGGCGGGGCUGGAAGCUGUAGUGGAAGGUGGGGCCUGUGGAACUUAGUUCUGCUCUUAGCGUGAGAGUGACUCUGGCUGGUGUUUACCCUGUGGGCUUCGGCUGCCUUACCUCUAGGGUGCAUAACGCUUACUGCACACAGCACUUUGACCUUCCGUCUCUGUGAUUCUCAGAUAAUCACCUCUGGCUGUUGAAAGGUUAAAUAAAGAGAAAGCAUUCGGAACCUUGUUAAGUUGAUGGUGAGGAGUAUUGAGAAGUAUUUCUUAAAUACUGUGUAUGUAUAAACAGUAUGUGUUGGCGUGACAGUGUUUCAUAGCACUUUAAAUGUAAGUUACAGUCAAGCGAUCUGUCUGCUGAGACUUGCUACCUUGGUCUCCUGCUCCAGAAAAUAGGGCUCUGAAAAGCACAGUGGGCUAGCAAAAGUGCUUUGCCUGCCGGUUCCUCUGUCACCCUCUAGUUAGUCUGCUCUGCCCUGCGCUUAGAAAGCUGCCAGGGAGUGUGAUAGUGUGGAGUCCUGUUACUGACUCUGUGUGUUGUGAUAGUGUGGAGUCUGUGUCGCUUGGUCAGAUCGUCAUGUUGUUCUUUUUCCCUUCAGUAGGUUUUUUGUUUGUUGAUUUUUUUUUUUUUGUAUUUUUAUUUUCUAAGUAAAUGCUAUCAGUAGUGGAGGGAAGGGAACAGGUUAAAAUAUUUAGUAAAUAAUCGAUGUAUGAGUGAUGAGAGGAAACUGCUAAACUUUUUGGAUCAUCCAUUGUUUUGAUACCAUUGUACUUUUUGUCAGUGUGACCACGUUAAACAAAAUUGCUCCCUGUACAGUGAAUGGCGUAUAGAAUUAUGCAGAUGCCAAAAUAAAUGGGAAAUAAUUAUGCAUACCAGCUAAAAAUAAUUCAUAUGUUCAAGUAAUGUAGAUGACAAAGAAUCCAAACAUGAGUGCAUUCUUCAUCCACCAGUUCCAGUGUAGACUCAUGCGCUAUUGCUGUGUACCUAGUAAUGAGUUUUAUAUAAAAUAACAUUGAGAAUAUGUUAAUGCCUUAAACAAAGCCAGGUAAAUAUAAUAGCAAAUAUGUUAAAAAGACUUUCAAACCCAAAUAAACUUGGAUUUUAAAGACUUAGCAUAAAUAAGUUGCAGUUUUUACUCCUGUAUACUAAAGAAUUUGGAUGUAUAGUGCUUUUUCUUGAUGUUAGCACAUGCCACCAUAGCAGACCUGAGACAGUUUUAAAAAUCAAAACCUAAAUUUGAGACCAAACAUCUUACUAACAAGUCAUUUAGUGUUUAAGAUAGUAUUGGGAGAAAGUUGGUGGCAAGUGUUUUCCCUCUGAAAUGUUGAAGACUAAUUAUAUUUUAGGUUUGGGUUUGUUUGACCUUUGAUAGGCAGUGAUGCUGGACUGGAUUUUGAGAUUUGAAUCAUACUGUGAAAUAAUUGCACACUUGUGUUGAUGAAUCUGUAAUUGCUUGCAUUUUAAGCUUAGUCAUAAAUGAUUCUUCUCCUAUUACUGUGUAGGGCAUGUGACCUUCCUCUUCAUUAAUACAUUCUUGACAGAGGGUACUGUGCAAGUUCAAGGGCUUCUUUCUCUCAGUUUAGAAAACUUAAUUCUGAAUAGAUGCACCCUGGAAACACGAGACUAAAGUGGGGUGGCUGUACUUUUAUUUUCUACAGCGAAGUGACUAUUUUCUGAUCUCAGAACUUAAGCAUAUGACCUACUGAUGAGAUCUUAAGUAAUUUGAAGUGAACAUCCUGAAGGCUGGUGAGAGGGCUCAGUGACGGACGGGACCUGACUUGCCGACAAGACAAGCCCAGCGGCACAGAAAGCCUGGAGAGGACUGACCCCAGCAGUCUGUCCUUUGUCUCCGGGGACACGUGUGCUUGCUGUAGCACACAUGAUAUAGCAUGUGCAUGUACACAUAUCCCCAACAUACAACAUAAGUAAAUGUUGUUUUUUUCCUUUUUCUUUUUUCGAGACAGGGUUUCUCUGUAUAGCCCUGGCUGUCCUGGAACUCACUCUAUAGUUCAGGCUGGCCUCGAACUCAGAAAUCCGCCUGCCUCCGCCUCCCGAGUGCUGGAAUUAAAGGCGUGCGCCACCAAGCCCGGCUCAACAUAAGUAAAUGAAUACUAGACACGUAAGAAACAUCUGUCUUGAAAACUCAGUGUUUCAUUAAGUCCAGAACCUGUUUAGCUCUGUGGAAUGGUGAAAUGGCUGCUGUAGCAGGGUAGCAGAACCAGACUUGGAUUGUCACUUGCAGAGAUGUUAGUAAUGUUGCUUGGAAUUCAGUGCAAUUUCAUGUGUUUCUCAUAAUGAAUAAAGAGUGAAGAGGCACAGGAGCUGUAAACAGAGGAGGUUGCCAAGUCACUUAGUUACUUAAAAGGAGCAGUUUGCCAGAGAAAAGGAUAUUUAACUGCUUUAAAUGUGGGCAUGUAUGUAUUUUUUCAGCAGUUACAUAGAUCUAGAAAGUCACAUCUUGAAAUAGUAGUGCUAAUUAUUUCCGCACUUGGUUCAUCCCUGGUGUAUUAAAACUUUUAAUUGCCCUGUUUUUUUUUUUUUCCCACUCAUAAUCCUCUAAUGUACUCUUUAACAUUGUAUAAUCCCCACCUGCCUCCUGCUAGUGGGGAGGGGGGAGGAAAAAGAAGUGAAUGGAGAGAAACUUAAGUUGAGGAAACAUUUUGGUGAUGUGAGCUCCAACAUUGUACUGUGUUUCUGUGUGUGGCCAAGGGACAAUGGAAUAGUGUGGUCCUUAGUAUUCUACAUGUGGAUUGUAAGAGGUGGUAUGAUUUUGUUUAAUCACAUUUGUCUCCUGUGUUACUGACUUAAUCAGUAAUUACUGUCUGAAUAUUAGAAUUGUUUGAUACUCUGUUAGAAUGGCCUGUGGUUUUUAUUACUAGACUGGUGGUGUUUUAAAAUGACACAGGCUGGUACAAAGGAAGUCAGGUGCAUGCCUAAGUUUCAAUUAUUAUAUGGAAUUCCUGUGUACAGUUUUAGUUACUGCUGACGAAUUAAAUUUAAGCUUAUGUUAGCUUUGAAAUGGAGGUUACUGUAUAUACUUCCUCCCCCUUUGUCCUUUUCCUUUAUUUAAUAGGAGAAUUUAGAGUUAGCUGUUAAUUAGGUUCCAGCCUUGUUCUUUCCCUGACAAAAGGAGAAAAAUUACUUG